AUUUCUAGGCUGGCCUUCUACUCUUCAAGAUCCUCAGGAGGAGGGUUUGUCAUGAUGGAGGCUGGUACAUCCUUUCUCCUGGAUGAAGUUUGUUGCAAAGCCAAGCUUGAUUAAGAAGCACUUGGAGAAGAGACAUAGAAAAGCUGCAGUCAUGCUAUCAGUCUGUUUUAAGGCCAGUUGGAAUGAAGUCAUGCAAUGGAUUCAGUUUGGCUGGGUGAAAAAAACAUCCCAUAUUUGCAUUGUUAUAGUCCUUCAUCAUUCACAUUUGAUCUAUCUGGCAUUUGAUACAAGAUACAGGCACGGACAAUUUGCCUCAAACUGCUACAAUGUUUACAGAAGAGAGAUCAUCCAAGAUAGUAAGUGCAAUUACUUCUCCAGGAAUUGAAUUUGUGGUUCAGAAUACAAGAAAGGCUUACAGGUUGAACAUUUAUUUCAGGUUUGUAAGAUGAAACCUUAUGCUUUAUAUGUUUCGCAUCCUAGACUAAGGCAUCAAAUACACAGCUUUUAGUUAUAAUUCUUCUUACAAAUCCCUUCUCCUAGUGAACUGUCUACAUUCACAGUGUGUUCUUUGACAGCUGUUUUCAUUUUGUAUUAUGCUUGUGUUAUGACCCAUCCUUGAAGGUGAGGUAACUGAGGUUCUUGUUAAUAAUCCAUCCCUUGGGGAGUGGAUUAGAGUAAAAUGACACUGAAUGACCAGUGUUUAUAAAAAUAAAUAAAUAAAUAAAUAUGCCA
rnacentral:lncRNA from 1 species